GCGAGCGGGCGGGACGGAGGCGGCGGGAGAGCGGCGGGUUCCGGAGGAGCCGCGGAGGCUGCGGGAGCUGCUGGAGCUGCGGCAGCGGCAGCUGCGGUCCCGCAUCGCCGCCUGCGAGGAGCUGACAGCGGCGAUGACCGCGCUGCGGGCGGCGCUGGGCCCCGGCCCGGGGGCCGCAGGGCCCUGAAGAGCCCUGGAAGAUCGAGGCCUUGCCGAGGGACCAAGGGCUUCGCUCGGUCUGAGGCUCCGGGAGUGCCCGGGCGGUGCCAGGGGAGUUCAGGGACUGGUAAAGGCAGCACAGCCUUGGGGCUCGGUCAGUGUCGCUUUGCUGGUGCUUUAUCGUAUUAAAUGUUCGCUUUGAAAUAAGG